GGGUAGCCGGCCUGAGAGGGCGACCGGCCACACUGGGACUGAGACACGGCCCAGACUCCUACGGGAGGCAGCAGUGGGGAAUAUUGGGCAAUGGACGAAAGUCUGACCCAGCGACGCCGCGUGCGGGAUGAAGGCCUUCGGGUUGUAAACCGCUUUCAGCAGGGAAGAAGCGAAAGUGACGGUACCUGCAAAAGAAGCACCGGCUAACUAUGUGCCAGCAGCCGCGGUAAUACAUAGGGUGCAAGCGUUGUCCGGAAUUAUUGGGCGUAAAGAGCUCGUAGGUCGUUAAUUACGUCGGGUGUGAAAAUCUGGGGCUCAACCCCAGACCUGCACUCGAUACGGGUUAGCUAGAGUUUGGUAGGGGAGAC
rnacentral:rRNA from 1 species